rnacentral:rRNA from 1 species
AGUGAACGCUGGCGGUAGGCCUAACACAUGCAAGUCGAACGGCAGCACAGUAAGAGCUUGCUCUUACGGGUGGCGAGUGGCGGACGGGUGAGGAAUACAUCGGAAUCUACUUUUUCGUGGGGGAUAACGUAGGGAAACUUACGCUAAUACCGCAUACGACCUACGGGUGAAAGCAGGGGAUCUUCGGACCUUGCGCGAUUGAAUGAGCCGAUGUCGGAUUAGCUAGUUUGCGGGGUAAAGGCCCACCAAGGCGACGGUCCGUAGCUGGUCUGAGAGGAUGAUAAGCCACACUGGAACUGAGACACGGUCCAGACUCCUACGGGAGGCAGCAGUGGGGAAUAUUGGACAAUGGGCGCAAGCCUGAUCCAGCCAUACCGCGUGGGUGAAGAAGGCCUUCGGGUUGUAAAGCCCUUUUGUUGGGAAAGAAAAGCAGCAGGUUAAUACCCCGCUGUUCUGACGGUACCCAAAGAAUAAGCACCGGCUAACUUCGUG